UUACGGUCAUUUUCACAUUCGUACACUGAUUUCCAUAUGAUCACCGAAGUUAAGCAACGUCGAGUCUGGUCACUACCUAGAUGGGUGACCGCUUAGAAAUAUGACGGGCUGUAAG